rnacentral:lncRNA from 1 species
CGAGAACUCACUCUACUGUUAUCUACCCCAUCAACUCCCCUGUUCAAACAAUCAACACCUGAAUUUGAAAGCUUAGUCAGCUUCCGCCCUUCCACAUUUCUACCGAUCCUCCCUCCCAAACUAAAAUCCUCGAAACUUCUCGAAGAACCAAACUCAGAAUCCAGAAACUCACCAGCUGGUCCAAACACGCUACAAACGCUGGGUGUACCCAUCACCGAGUUUGCGCUACAGUACCGAUCAAAC